rnacentral:rRNA from 1 species
UACGGAGGAUGCGAGCGUUAUCCGGAAUCAUUGGGUUUAAAGGGUCUGUAGGCGGGCUGGUAAGUCAGAGGUGAAAGCGCUUAGCUCAGCUAAGCAACUGCCUUUGAAACUGCUGGUCUUGAAUGGUUGUGAAGUAGUUGGAAUGUGUAGUGUAGCGGUGAAAUGCUUAGAUAUUACACAGAACACCGAUAGCGAAGGCAUAUUACUAACAAUUAAUUGACGCUGAUGGACGAAAGCGUGGGGAG